rnacentral:lncRNA from 1 species
UUACAUGUAUGUACAGUAUCGAUUGAUCUUAUUGGUUGUCCAUGAAUGAAUAGGUGCUAUUUAAGAAAAUGUUUAUAAUACCUUAAGUCAUGGCUGCAUAUCACACCUGAGAAGGAAUAUUCAUUUCUUAAAACAAUGUGGAGUACAAGUGCACAUAUAGUUGUUAUCACAGCAAUAAUUUAUCUUCCACAAGUAAAUACAG